rnacentral:sRNA from 1 species
GGGGACGCGGGUGGCAGAAAGUGGAGCUGGGCUGAUGUGCGGGAGCGGCCGGAGUCUGUGGAGCUGGAAAUUCACCGGUCCAGGAAGACGUCUUUCCUGCGUCCCAGCACCUUGGGCCACGCUCCUUGGUGAGAGCGCCCUCUCCAAGGAGGCUGGCCCUGGAUAUUUCACCCAAAAUAUUUAUUUUUUCUUUUUUUCUAGGCUCCUGUUUUCCUAAUAGCAUGAACAGCCCCCCGUCAGCUCCUACCCCUUUGUCUCUGACCUGUUCCUCCUCCAAGGUGACCUCUAUCCUGAAUUUUGAAAACAUAUUAGUAUUGCUUAUUUCUGAACUUUAUGCAGAUGAAGUCAUUGGGUCUCCCUCUGUCACCCAGGGCUGGAGUGCAGUGGCAUAAUCACAGCUAAUUGCAGCCUCAACAUUCCAGGCCCAAGGAUCCUCCCUUUAGCCUCCCAGGUAGCUGGGACCACAGGCAUGUACCACCACACCCAGCUAAUUUUUUAAAUUUUUGUAGAAAUAGAGAUCUCACUAUGUUGCCCAGGCUGGUCUCAAACUCCUGGGCUCAAGUGAUCCUCCUACCUUGGCCUCCCAAAGUGCUGGAAUUACAGGCGUGAACCACCAUGUCUGGCCAAAUUUACCCUUUACAAAGUAUAUGAUUCAGUGGUUUUUAGUAUACUCACAGAGUUGUGAAGCAUCACUAUCUAAUUUUAUUUAAUUUUUAAUUUUUUAAUUUUUUGAGAUGGAGUGUCGCUCUCUCACCCAGGCUGGAGUGCAGUGGCGCUAUCUCGGCUCACUGCAACCUCUGCUUCCCAGGUUCAAGUGAUUAUCCUGCCUCAGCCUCCCAAGUUGCUGGGAUUACAGGCACGUGCCACCAUGCCUGGUAAAUUUACUAAACUAAUAAAUUACUAAAUUAGUAAGUUACUAGUAAAUUAGUAAUUACUAAAAUACAAUUUUUAGUAGAGAUGGGGUUUCAUCAUGUUGGCCAGGCUGGUCAUGAACUCCUGACCUCAAUGGAUCCUCCUGCCUCAGCUUCCUGAGUAGCUGGGAUCACAGGUGCACACCACCACACCCAGGUAAUUACUUUUUAUUUUUUGUAGAGUCGGAGUCUCCCUAUGUUUCCCAGGCUGGUCUCGAACUCCUGACCUCAAGUGAUCCUCCCACCUCAGCCUCCCAGAGCGCUGGGAUUGAAGACGUGAGCCACCGCACCUGGCCUGAAUUUUCCUCAGAUUCAAAAAAUCCUGAUGAAGGUUUGGCUAAAAUCUUUGGUGAGUUACCCCC